rnacentral:rRNA from 1 species
CACCAAAUAGCUAGCCCCCCAAACAACUUCAACACACCACUAUUAAUACCCCUAAAUACACAAGUUAAGAUUUAACAAAUCAUUUUUCCCCCUGAGUAUGGGCGACAGAAAAGGGCCGAAGGCGCGAUAGAGAUAGUACCGCAAGGGACCACUGAAAGAGAAGUGAAAUAACCCAGUAAAGUACUAAAAAGCAGAGCUAAACUCUCGUACCUUUUGCAUCAUGAUUUAGCCAGUGAUUUUCAAGCAAAAGGCCUUUUAGUUUGUAAACCCGAAACUAGGGGAGCUACUCCAAGACAGCCUAAUAAUAGGGCAAACCCGUCUCUGUUGCAAAAGAGUGGGGCGAGCUUUGAGUAGAGGUGACAGACCUACCGAACCUAGUUAUAGCUGGUUGCCCAAGAAAUGAAUAGUAGUUCAGCUUUACGGCUUCUCCCUUCUCAUCAGUACAUGCAACCCCUGAUAUUUUAAGAAACCUUAAAAGUUAUUCAAAAGGGGUACAGCCCUUUUGAAACAAGACACAACUUUCCCAGGAGGGUAAAGAUCAUAAUUACACAAGGUAGUUGACCCUAGUGGGCUCGAAAGCAGCCACCCCUUAAGAAAGCGUCUAAGCUCGUAAGAAUGUUACCCCUCUCCCAAUUCUGAUCAUUUUAUCUUACCCCCCUAAAUUUAUUGGGCCGCCCCAUGCCAACAUGGGGGUGACCAUGCUAAUAUGAGUAAUAAGAAAGCUAUGGCUUUCUCCCCGCACGCAUGUAAAUCGGAAUGGACCCCCCACCGAAAAUUAACGGCCCCAAUUACAGAGGGCAAUGGACGAUAAACCAAACAACAAGCAGAUCCUCCAACCACCAACCGUUAACCCAACACAGGUGUGCCCCUAGGGAAAAACUAAAAGGGGGAGAAGGAACUCGGCAAACACAUAAAGCCUCGCCUGUUUACCAAAAACAUCGCCUCUUGCAAAUAAUGAAUAAGAGGUCCCGCCUGCCCUGUGACUAUUAGUUUAACGGCCGCGGUAUUUUGACCGCGCGAAGGUAGCGCAAUCACUUGUCUCUUAAAUGGGGACCUGUAUGAAUGGCA